UGAAUGCAUGUUGUUUCUGUUAUCACCGGUACAGGUUUCCCAAGGAGCUGGAGGAGUUGUUCGACCAGGAUCAGUCGGUCUCCCUCAUGGUGGAGCAAGAGUCGUUCCCAACAAUAACAACAUGGGAGAAAUUCCAGGAAGACAAUGGCUUUCCCGCGGAGGAGGAAGUCGAUGAUGAAACCUGCUGCUGCCUCCCUACUGGACUACAUUUGCGGGAACUUCUGAAGGACAUAACGGACGAACUCUGGAGAACCAUCGGCAAAGUCUCUGCUUGUUGAGGUCUUGAGAGAUAAUUCCCAGACAUCAAGCCAGAAGCUCAUCUCUCUAGGCCGUCCUGGGACGACUCCUCCAGCGGUGUUUCCAAUCUUCUUGAUCCUCCAUGCACCUGGCUAGAUCGCCAGUGUUUCCUGCUGCUAAAUUUUUCCUCAGUACGUCCACGUCUGUUGGUGUGGGGGUGUGCGGGUUCCCACAGCACCAGCUUGCUGGCUGGGAGCUCCCGGGGUCUCUGGCAAUGAGCGGCCAGCCUCCUUCUUCUGGAUGCCACCUUCUCUCUGGUUCUCGCAACCCUCGGGCGAGGUCAAAUCAUGGGCGGCCUGCACAUGCGCCAGUGUGUCAAGAGACACUGCGGUGCCUUGUUCACCUGCCGCUGGUCCAACCAAUCAAGGGCCAGUGAUUGUGGGAAGCCCAAAGCGUGUUCGGCCAUGCGAUUGGACAAUCGACGUUCUUGGAGCGGGUGAUACGAAGAAAAAAAUAAUGCAAUGCAUUGUGGCGGUAGACUGUCCGGUUGAUCUUUCACUUCAUGGGCCAGGAGGUUUCUUAUUUAUCAUUGUGGAUUAAAUCAUUCAAUGUCCUGCUUUUGUCUCAUGUCACCCCUUGAUGGCACAAUUGCAUUGUUUGGAAUACUUCUCGGUUUUUUUGCAGCAUAUUCAUGGGCAUACAAUCGGCAUGGUCGUUAUUCAAACCAGGCUUUUUAAAGUUUUUUAAGUUGCUGGGUUGCAAAUAUGUCAGUGUCCAAUUUGAUAUGUCUGUUAUUUAUUUAUUUAUUAAUUUAUAUUUUUCACUCAUGUAAAUUAUCAAUGUGUAAAAAAAAGAAGUAAUUAUCUCUGUACCAAUAAUGAAUAAAGUGCUACAUUAUCCGAAUGAGAAUCAAUUUUAUUACAUCUUAUUGUACAGUACACAAGAGUACAUUUCUUAGUCUUAGGCUUGGU